UACAGAGGGUGCAAGCGUUGCUCGGAAUCAUUGGGCGUAAAGGGCGUGUAGGCGGUCUGUUAAGUCAUGUGUGAAAUCCCUCGGCUCAACCGGGGAACGACGCAUGAAACUGACAAGCUAGAGUACCAAAGAGGGGGGUGGAAUUCCCGGUGUAGCGGUGAAAUGCGUAGAUAUCGGAAGGAACAUCAGUGGCGAAAGCGGCUUCCUGGACCAGCACCGACGUUCAGGCACGAAAGCGUGGGGAGCAAACAGG
rnacentral:rRNA from 1 species